GAUUCUUUAUGCUAAAGUAUCAUCCAUUGAAAAUGGAUAUAAAUAUGAUCAAGAAGCAGCUAAAGCCUUGAUU
rnacentral:tRNA from 1 species